rnacentral:misc_RNA from 1 species
GCAAACUUGGUCAUUUAGAGGAAGUAAAAGUCGUAACAAGGUUUCCGUAGGUGAACCUGCGGAAGGAUCAUUAAUGAUAUUUUAAGCAAACCGAGCUUUAAAAAAAAGUAAGGUUUUGCGAAUAUAUUUAAAACCCCCCACUCUUUAAAAAAUUUUUUUUCAUUUUUAUAAUGAAUAAAAAAAAAGAUCACUUUCAACAACGGAUCUCUUGGCUCUCGCAUCGAUGAAGAACGCAGC